CUUGAUCGACCCCAGCCACAGCGGCCGGUCCUCGUCCCGGCCCUGCCCGUACGCGGCGAGCAGCGCCUCCGCCUC
rnacentral:antisense_RNA from 1 species